ACKGCUCAGUAACACGUGGCUAACCUGCCCUUAGGAUGGGGACACCCCCGGGAAACUGGGGCUAAUCCCCGAUAGGUGAAGAACACUGGAAUGUGUCUUUGCCCAAAAGCCGUCGGAGCAUCUUUCGGCGGUGCCUAAGGAUGGGGCCGCGACCGAUCAGGUUGUUGGUGAGGUAAUGGCCCACCAAGCCUAUAACCGGUGCGGGCCGUGAGAGCGGGAGCCCGGAGAUGGGCACUGAGACAAGGGCCCAGGUCCUACGGGGCGCAGCAGUCGCGAAAACUUUGCAAUACACGAAAGUGUGACAGGGUCAUCCCGAGUGCCGACCGCUGAGGUUGGCUUUUACCCAGUCUAGAAAGCUGGGGGAAUAAGGAGAGGGCAAGUCUGGUGUCAGCCGCCGCGGUAAUACCAGCUCUCCGAGUGGUGUGGACGUUUAUUGGGCCUAAAGCAUCCGUAGCUGGCUGAACAAGUCCCCUGUUAAACCCACCGAUUUAAUCGUUGGCUUGCGGGGGAUACUGCUCGGCUAGGGGACGAGAGAGGCAGACGGUAUUCUCGGGGUAGGGGUGAAAUCCUAUAAUCCCGGGAGGACCACCAGUGGCGAAGGCUGUCUGCUAGAGCGCGCCCGACGGUGAGGGAUGAAAGCUGGGGGAGCGAACCGGAUUAGAUACCCGGGUAGUCCCAGCUGUAAACGAUGCAGACUAGGUGUUUGGACGGCCACGUGCCGUUCUAGUGCCGCAGGGAAGCUGUUAAGUCUGCCGCCUGGGGAGUACGAUCGCAAGAUUGAAACUUAAAGGAAUUGGCGGGGGAGCAC
rnacentral:rRNA from 1 species